GUUGUGCCCUAUCCACUAACUUCCUUUCGUCUAUUAGGGGGCCAAAUUUUGCAUCUCUACUAGGGUUGGCGAGUGAAUGGAUGUGGUCAUGUGGACCCAAUACGCACUCAGAAACUUUAAGCCCAGAAAAGACAAUAUCACCUUGAAUGUGCUUACUAGCCUAUAGUAUGCAUUUCAAAUUUUCGGCAAAUUUUACGUACUGUAUAGCCCAUCUGCUAGUGUCCC